rnacentral:rRNA from 1 species
ACUCCUACGGGAGGCAGCAGUGAGGAAUAUUAGACAAUGGGCGAAAGCCUGAUCUAGCCAUGCCGCGUGAGUGAUGAAGGCCUUAGGGUCGUAAAGCUCUUUCGCUAGGGAAGAUAAUGACGGUACCUAGUAAAGAAACCCCGGCUAACUCCGUGCCAGCAGCCGCGGUAAUACGGAGGGGGUUAGCGUUGUUCGGAAUUACUGGGCGUAAAGCGUACGUAGGCUGAUUAGUCAGUCAGAGGUGAAAUCCCGGAGCUCAACUCCGGAACUGCCUUUGAUACUGCUAGUCUAGAGGUCGAGAGAGGUGAGUGGAAUUUCUAGUGUAGAGGUGGAAUUCGUAGAUAUUAGAAGGAACACCAGUGGCGAAGGCGGCUCACUGGCUCGAUACUGACGCUGAGGUACGAAAGUGUGGGUAGCAAACAGGAUUAGAUACCCUGGUAGCAAGUAG